rnacentral:rRNA from 1 species
UUGGAGARGGUGAUCCUGGCUCAGRUUGAACGCUGGCGGCAGGCCUAACACAUGCAAGUCGAGCGGCAGCACAGAGGAACUUGUUCCUUGGGUGGCGAGCGGCGGACGGGUGAGUAAUGCCUGGGAAAUUGCCCGGUAGAGGGGGAUAACCAUUGGAAACGAUGGCUAAUACCGCAUAACCUCGCAAGAGCAAAGCAGGGGACCUUCGGGCCUUGCGCUACCGGAUAUGCCCAGGUGGGAUUAGCUAGUUGGUGAGGUAAGGGCUCACCAAGGCGACGAUCCCUAGCUGGUCUGAGAGGAUGAUCAGCCACACUGGAACUGAGACACGGUCCAGACUCCUACGGGAGGCAGCAGUGGGGAAUAUUGCACAAUGGGCGCAAGCCUGAUGCAGCCAUGCCGCGUGUAUGAAGAAGGCCUUCGGGUUGUAAAGUACUUUCAGUAGGGAGGAAGGUGGUUAAGUUAAUACCUUAAUCAUUUGACGUU